rnacentral:tRNA from 1 species
GAACCCGUGGCUCAAUGGUUAGAGCACUGGUCUUCUGAUCAAUGGGUCGCGGGUUCG